ensembl:lncRNA
CUCCUUUCUUCUUCUCAUCAGAGAUGUUAAAAAGUGAAUGUGACACCUACUCCUCCACAGCUCUGGCUAUUCAAGCACCUUUCUUAUAGUGAUGAAGGGAGUACAUCAUCAGGGCAAGGUGUAUGUGGAUGGUGUUGAACUUCUGCUGUGUUUUACUGUGAUUUAGCGUCAGCACAUACAGCACUGGAAAUACUACUGCUUGUGGCACACAGCCCUGCCCUCUGCUUUUCCUUUCUCCAGUAAGGACUUGCUGCUCCUCCUGCUGUUCAGCCAUCACCCGUUGAAUUCUAAGCCAAGCAACCUCAAAGGGUUAAUUGUCUUACUUCACUAUUCAAAAAAUACCAUGGCUGUUAAGCACGUAACUCAUGGGUUCUACCAACUCUUCUGCAAAAAUACAAGCAGGUAAACCACCAGAAAGCAGCUUUGUACCACUGAAAAGAAGCUUCACCCAGACCCUCCUGCUGCCUCUGACCCUUCAGUGCCAGUGGAGCCAGCUCCAUGUCCUCCAUCGUCCACAGCCCGCCCACCACCACCUCCUCCAGGGAUUUCUCUGCAGGACUUCUAAAUCAACAGAGGACUGCAAAGCCUUGGAGAGAGGGUUCUCAUCUUUCCCUUUACUGAGUGCUAUGCUAUACCCUGGCCAGGCCAUGCUCUGCGAAGCCCCUGGACAAGCUCUUCCCAGCAGGAGCAGCACCAAGUGCAGAUAGAAAACACUUCUGAAGUCGUGCAUCCCAUCUGAUGUUUAAAUGCAAAGAACCUAGGAAGGAUAGUCCUGGAUUACUGCUGCUUACAAGGAAGUGUACUUCUACGGAGGUCCAAAAGCCCUUCUGUACUCGGAAGCUGGGAUGGUUUGGCUUUGCUCUCCUUUAGCACUGAUGCAGCUUCAUUACCACCCAACAGGAAGUGAUGGUUACACUGCUGUCAAACUGGUGGAAAUAACAGGAUUAUCUUUGACUAACCAUGGGGUUUCCCACCUCAGGAACUGGAACAUCCUGAAAUCAUUCUGCUCCCAGACACGUCUUCUUUUUUUCCGUUUAGAUUAAAUAAUAUAUUUAGGGCCUCUGAAUGGCCUUAUGGUCUUCUGAGUGUGAAGCCUGCAAAAACAAGUGGGAAGGAAAAAGGCAGGUGGAGGAAAGGCUCAGCGAGAAGGCAAAGCCCUACCAGCCAAACCCAACUUCUCUUCAACUUACGCAAAGGUAUUUGUCCAUCAAGAGAAAGGUGGGACCCUGGAAAGUCAUUCUAACCAACAUUUUGAAAGUCUAUAAAUUCUGGAGGGACCAGGAAGAGUGCAAACAUUUUGUAAUUAGGGGCAAAACCCUGAGUGCUCCUACAAGUGCACUACAAGAGCACUACAAGUACUGAUAGUGAAGCCUCACUUCACUAUCAGUCCUUGGGGCUCCCUGCCUCUCCCAGCCCCCCCAGCCCAUGUGUGGGAUGCAUUGUGGCUCCCCCAUCUUCUCAACAUAUUUUGCUAUACUGAGCCUUUGUUAAUAUCACUUUUUGUUGACGUAUCUGUAUGGAAAACAGAAAAAUCCACUUUGUUGGAUUUGCUUUUGGUCUGAUUCCCUAAAUUCUACAAGGUGUUACAAAAUCCUGAACAUCUUUCAUUUCAGGUUAAUUGAAGUAACUGAUACAAUAGAACGCAAUUUAUUCUCUUUCAAAUGGAACGGUGGAAAACAGGCAUUAUUUUAUGUCCGCCCUCAGUUUGUCUCAGGAAUAUUUUUGCCAAUGGUAUGAGUUGGUUUACGUUCAAAUUUUUCAAUUAUUCUUUUACUUCUUUUUAAAAUGGUCACUUCUCUGGUGUGCAGAUCAAACAUUAAUGAAGUUUGAAAGGUCUUUUUUUUGAGCAACAUAAAACUUAAUAAAAUAAUUUUGCAUUUUACAGCUUUGGUGAGGAAAAGGUGUUAAUUAAGAGUACCAUGGCAAGAAAACUGCUUUCUGGCUCUGCUUACAAACUGGCUUAUUCUUGUAAAUAAUCAGUCCCACCUAAU